rnacentral:rRNA from 1 species
UACAGGGGGUGCAAACGUUGCUCGGAAUCAUUGGGCGUAAAGCGCACGUAGGCGGUUUGUUAUGUCGGAUGUGAAAGCCCUUGGCUCAACUGAGGAAGUGCAUCCGAAACUGGCAAGCUAGAGUACUAAAGAGGGUCGCGGAAUUCCCGGUGUAGAGGUGAAAUUCGUAGAUAUCGGGAGGAACACCAGUGGCGAAGGCGACUCACUGGACACGUAUUGACGCUGAGGUGCGAAAAGCGUGGGGAGCAAACAGGG